CCUGGUGUAAAUGAUGACUAAACUUUUUUCCCCAUCAGAUCGACUGUGUUGAUCUCAUCGCUCUUUGGCCAUUUUCAUUCUGAUACACCAGC
rnacentral:snoRNA from 1 species